GGAUGGUAUUUUGACCUAUGAGAAUAUCAUUUUUUAAUUUAGUUUUUGAAGGUACAACUGUUUUGGGUUCCUUUUGAUGUGAAUUAUUUGGUUGUCAAAAAAGAACUCAUCCUUGCUGCUGUGAUUUAUUUUGCUUCCUUAGGUUUUGGUGGAUCUCUUUAGGCAUGAUUUGCUAUUGUGGAAAGCAUAUAGCAUUACUCUACAGUCACAUGAUGUAUUCACAGAAUAUCUUGACCUUCUUAAUAUCUUGGAGGAGGAGCUUUCAUCUGUCUCUGAUCUUACAUUGCAAAAUGGACCAUUGUCAUGAAUGCUAGACAAUGACACUGAUUGGAAAAACAGCUGAAUGCGGCAUUUUAACCUUGAGUUAAUUAACACAUACAGUUUGAUGAGAUCUACGGUGGGGCCAGGAAUCUGAUGUAAAUAGAUUAUUCAGGGGUUUUUUCCCUUUGAGCAACACCCCAGAGGCGCUAUGGCAGCUAUUUGUGCAGUGAUCAGCUAAGCACCUAUUGUUGUAUUAUUUGUUUGUUGCAGCAGAGUUGAAUGUGCAUUCUUCGCCUUACGGAGGAGGAAUUUAUACAGUGGAUGGGGUUGCCUUCCCCUGCCCUUUGGCAGGUUAGUAAAGUGUGCCCUAGAGGAAAGUGGCAUGUUUGAGACUUGAGAGUAAGGAGAUUGGAGGGGGCUAAAAUCCCCUUUGUUAUUUAAAAUUGAAUAGAAGAGGAAUUUAGCCUCUCUGAUCCCCUCAAUUCCCAAACAAACCCUUGAAGUGUUUUCUACAGCUUUAGGAAAUGUGGUUUACUUCUAUGGUAGGUACAUGGGCAACCAAUGUAUAUACAUUUAUUUUUACAGCAUCCUGGCCCCGUUCAUCCACAACGUGUUGCACAUGUCUAGCCUCUCCAUUGCAAGGGCGUACAGAUAUGUAUAUAAAAAUCUACACAAUGCAUGCGCA